rnacentral:rRNA from 1 species
CCUACGGGCGGCAGCAGUGGGGAAUAUUGGACAAUGGGCGAAAGCCUGAUCCAGCCAUGCCGCGUGUGUGAAGAAGGCCUUCGGGUUGUAAAGCACUUUCAGUGGGGAAGAAAGCCUUGGGGCUAAUACCCUCGAGGAAGGACAUCACCCACAGAAGAAGCACCGGCUAACUCCGUGCCAGCAGCCGCGGUAAUACGGAGGGUGCGAGCGUUAAUCGGAAUUACUGGGCGUAAAGCGCGCGUAGGCGGUCUGAUAAGCCGGUUGUGAAAGCCCCGGGCUCAACCUGGGAACGGCAUCCGGAACUGUCAGGCUAGAGUGCAGGAGAGGAAGGUAGAAUUCCCGGUGUAGCGGUGAAAUGCGUAGAGAUCGGGAGGAAUACCAGUGGCGAAGGCGGCCUUCUGGACUGACACUGACGCUGAGGUGCGAAAGCGUGGGUAGCAAACAGGAUUAGAUACCCAGUCGUC